AUUGAACGCUGGCGGCAGGCCUAACACAUGCAAGUCGAACGGCAGCGGGGGGUAGCUUGCUACCCCGCCGGCGAGUGGCGGACGGGUGAGUAAUGCCUGGGGAGCUGCCCAAUCGAGGGGGAUACCAGUUGGAAACGACUGCUAAUACCGCAUACGCCAUGAGGGGGAAAGGUGGGGAGCUUCGGACCUACCGCGAUUGGAUGCACCCAGGUGGGAUUAGCUAGUUGGUGAGGUAACGGCUCACCAAGGCGACGAUCUAUAGCUGGUCUGAGAGGAUGACCAGCCACACUGGAACUGAGACACGGUCCAGACUCCUACGGGAGGCAGUAGUGGGGAAUAUUGCACAAUGGGGGAAACCCUGAUGCAGCCAUGCCGCGUGUGUGAAGAAGGCCUUCGGGUUGUAAAGCACUUUCAGCGAGGAGGAAAGGUUGGCAGCUAAUACCUGUCAGCUGUGACGUUACUCGCAGAAGAAGCACCGGCUAACUCCGUGCCAGCCGCCGCCGUAA
rnacentral:rRNA from 1 species